rnacentral:rRNA from 1 species
CCUACGGGAGGCAGCAGUGAGGAAUAUUGGUCAAUGGCCGGAAGGCUGAACCAGCCAAGUCGCGUGAGGGACGACUGCCCUAUGGGUUGUAAACCUCUUUUAUAAGGGAGGAAUAGAUGCUACGUGUAGCGGGAUGCCUGUACCUUAUGAAUAAGCAUCGGCUAACUCCGUGCCAGCAGCCGCGGUAAUACGGAGGAUGCGAGCGUUAUCCGGAUUUAUUGGGUUUAAAGGGUGCGUAGGCGGAAUGCCAAGUCAGCGGUAAAAUCGCGGGGCUCAACCUCGCUCCGCCAUUGAAACUGGCGUUCUUGAGUGGGCGAGAAGUAUGCGGAAUGCGUGGUGUAGCGGUGAAAUGCAUAGAUAUUACGAAGAACUCCGAUUGCGAAGGCAGCAUACUGGCGUCCAACUGACGCUGAAGCACGAAAGCGUGGGUAGCGAACAGGAUUAGAUACCCCAGUAGUC